rnacentral:rRNA from 1 species
UAUGGUCAAGUGAAGAAGCGCAUACGGUGGAUGCCUUGGCAGUCAGAGGCGAUGAAAGACGUGGUAGCCUGCGAAAAGCUUCGGGGAGUCGGCAAACAGACUGUGAUCCGGAGAUGUCUGAAUGGGGGAACCCAGCCAUCAUAAGAUGGUUAUCUUACACUGAAUACAUAGGUGUAAGAGGCGAACCAGGGGAACUGAAACAUCUAAGUACCCUGAGGAAAAGAAAUCAACCGAGAUUCCCUUAGUAGUGGCGAGCGAACGGGGACCAGCCCUUAAGUUGUAUUGAGAUUAGCGGAACGCUCUGGAAAGUGCGGCCAUAGUGGGUGAUAGCCCUGUACGCGAAAAUCCCUUUGCAAUGAAAUCGAGUAGGACGGGGCACGAGAAACCUUGUCUGAAUAUGGGGGGACCAUCCUCCAAGGCUAAAUACUACUGACUGACCGAUAGUGAACCAGUACCGUGAGGGAAAGGCGAAAAGAACCGCGGAGAGCGGAGUGAAAUAGAUCCUGAAACCGUAUGCGUACAAGCAGUGGGAGCCCACUUUGUUGGGUGACUGCGUACCUUUUGUAUAAUGGGUCAGCGACUUAUUUUCAGUGGCGAGCUUAACCGAAUAGGGGAGGCGUAGCGAAAGCGAGUCUUAAUAGGGCGUCUAGUCGCUGGGAAUAGACCCGAAACCGGGCGAUCUAUCCAUGGGCAGGUUGAAGGUUGGGUAACACUAACUGGAGGACCGAACCGACUACCGUUGAAAAGUUAGCGGAUGACCUGUGGAUCGGAGUGAAAGGCUAAUCAAGCUCGGAGAUAGCUGGUUCUCCUCGAAAGCUAUUUAGGUAGCGCCUCAUGUAUCACUGUAGGGGGUAGAGCACUGUUUCGGCUAGGGGGUCAUCCCGACUUACCAAACCGAUGCAAACUCCGAAUACCUACAAGUGCCGAGCAUGGGAGACACACGGCGGGUGCUAACGUCCGUCGUGAAAAGGGAAACAACCCAGACCGUCAGCUAAGGUCCCAAAGUCAUGGUUAAGUGGGAAACGAUGUGGGAAGGCUUAGACAGCUAGGAGGUUGGCUUAGAAGCAGCCACCCUUUAAAGAAAGCGUAAUAGCUCACUAGUCGAGUCGGCCUGCGCGGAAGAUGUAACGGGGCUCAAACCAUGCACCGAAGCUACGGGUAUCACCUUUGGUGAUGCGGUAGAGGAGCGUUCUGUAAGCCUGUGAAGGUGAGUUGAGAAGCUUGCUGGAGGUAUCAGAAGUGCGAAUGCUGACAUGAGUAACGACAAUGGGUGUGAAAAACACCCACGCCGAAAGACCAAGGUUUCCUGCGCAACGUUAAUCGACGCAGGGUUAGUCGGUCCCUAAGGCGAGGCUGAAAAGCGUAGUCGAUGGAAAACAGGUUAAUAUUCCUGUACUUCUGGUUAUUGCGAUGGAGGGACGGAGAAGGCUAGGCCAGCCUGGCGUUGGUAGUCCAGGUUUAAGGUGGUAGGCUGAGAUCUUAGGUAAAUCCGGGAUCUUAAGGCCGAGAGCUGAUGACGAGUGUUCUUUUAGAACAUGAAGUGGUUGAUGCCAUGCUUCCAAGAAAAGCUUCUAAGCUUCAGGUAACCAGGAACCGUACCCCAAACCGACACAGGUGGUUGGGUAGAGAAUACCAAGGCGCUUGAGAGAACUCGGGUGAAGGAACUAGGCAAAAUGGCACCGUAACUUCGGGAGAAGGUGCGCCGGUGAGGGUGAAGCAUUUACUGCGUAAGCCCACGCCGGUCGAAGAUACCAGGCCGCUGCGACUGUUUAUUAAAAACACAGCACUCUGCAAACACGAAAGUGGACGUAUAGGGUGUGACGCCUGCCCGGUGCCGGAAGGUUAAUUGAUGGGGUUAGCGCAAGCGAAGCUCUUGAUCGAAGCCCCGGUAAACGGCGGCCGUAACUAUAACGGUCCUAAGGUAGCGAAAUUCCUUGUCGGGUAAGUUCCGACCUGCACGAAUGGCGUAACGAUGGCGGCGCUGUCUCCACCCGAGACUCAGUGAAAUUGAAAUCGCUGUGAAGAUGCAGUGUAUCCGCGGCUAGACGGAAAGACCCCGUGAACCUUUACUAUAGCUUUGCACUGGACUUUGAAUUUGCUUGUGUAGGAUAGGUGGGAGGCUUUGAAGCGUGGACGCCAGUUUGCGUGGAGCCAACCUUGAAAUACCACCCUGGCAACUUUGAGGUUCUAACUCAGGUCCGUUAUCCGGAUCGAGGACAGUGUAUGGUGGGUAGUUUGACUGGGGCGGUCUCCUCCUAAAGAGUAACGGAGGAGUACGAAGGUGCGCUCAGACCGGUCGGAAAUCGGUCGUAGAGUAUAAAGGCAAAAGCGCGCUUGACUGCGAGACAGACACGUCGAGCAGGUACGAAAGUAGGUCUUAGUGAUCCGGUGGUUCUGUAUGGAAGGGCCAUCGCUCAACGGAUAAAAGGUACUCCGGGGAUAACAGGCUGAUACCGCCCAAGAGUUCAUAUCGACGGCGGUGUUUGGCACCUCGAUGUCGGCUCAUCACAUCCUGGGGCUGAAGCCGGUCCCAAGGGUAUGGCUGUUCGCCAUUUAAAGUGGUACGCGAGCUGGGUUUAGAACGUCGUGAGACAGUUCGGUCCCUAUCUGCCGUGGACGUUUGAGAUUUGAGAGGGGCUGCUCCUAGUACGAGAGGACCGGAGUGGACGAACCUCUGGUGUUCCGGUUGUCACGCCAGUGGCAUUGCCGGGUAGCUAUGUUCGGAAAAGAUAACCGCUGAAAGCAUCUAAGCGGGAAACUUGCCUCAAGAUGAGAUCUCACUGGAACCUUGAGUUCCCUGAAGGGCCGUCGAAGACUACGACGUUGAUAGGUUGGGUGUGUAAGCGCUGUGAGGCGUUGAGCUAACCAAUACUAAUUGCCCGUGAGGCUUGACCAUA